rnacentral:rRNA from 1 species
UACAGAGGUCCCAAGCGUUGUUCGGAUUCACUGGGCGUAAAGGGUGCGUAGGCGGUCGGGCAAGUCUGAUGUGAAAUCUCACAGCUUAACUGUGAAACUGCAUUGGAUACUAUCCGGCUCGAGGAAUGGAGGGGAGACUGGAAUACUUGGUGUAGCAGUGAAAUGCGUAGAUAUCAAGUGGAACACCAGUGGCGAAGGCGAGUCUCUGGACACUUCCUGACGCUGAGGCACGAAAGCCAGGGGAGCAAACGGG